AGUUGGUUCCCCAUAAGUGCCCCAAGGAACAGGCAGAGUGCUCUGCUCCUUAAGGAGAUGAAAUAAAACCUGUAAUGGAUACAGCAGCUAAUUCUGCACCCGGCAAAGAGUGCUGUUUGUGCUGGGACCCUCUUGCUGGGCAGCUCUUGUGGCCAUCUGCCUGUCAGGCAAUGUCCUGCCUGGCUGACUCUCGAUAGAACGAUGACCAUCUCCCAGCUCAGCAGAACGCUGCUGUGACCGUAUUUACAGCCAGAAGGAAAGGUAUUUGUGUUCUGGGGAGAAACAAUAGAAAGGCUGGAAAUUGUACACUGAACUUCUAAUCUUGGUCCCUGCUGUGAAGUCAUCCCUG